rnacentral:rRNA from 1 species
AUUGAACGCUGGCGGCAGGCCUAACACAUGCAAGUCGAACGAGCGGCGGACGGGAGUAAAAUGCCGGGGAAUUCCCCAGUCGGGGGGGAUAUAAUUUGGAAACGACUGCUAAUACCGCAACCGAUUGGAUUGCCUAGGUGGGUUAAGCUAGUGGGUGGGGUAAGGGCUCACAAAGGCGACGAUCUCUAGCUGGUCUGAGAGGAUGACCAGCCACACUGGAACUGAGACACGGUCCAGACUCCUACGUGAGGCAGCAGUGGGGAAUAUUGCACAAUGGGGGAAAGCCUGAUGCAGCCAUGCCGCGUGUGUGAAGAAGGCCUUCGGGUUGUAAAGCACUUUCAGCGGGGAGGCGUUACUCGCAGAAGAAGCACCGGCUAACUCCGUGCCAGCCGCCGCGGUAAUAC